rnacentral:lncRNA from 1 species
CUUUUCGAGGUAGGAGUCGACUCCUGUGAGGUAUGGUGCUGGGUGCAGAUGCAGUGUGGCUCUGGAUAGCACCUUAUGGACAGUUGUGUCCCCAAGGAAGGAUGAGAAUAGCUACUGAAUUGUUUCUUCCCAGGUCCUAAAGAGCAAGCCUAACUCAAGCCAUUGGCACACAGGCAUUAGACAGAAAGCUGGAAGUUGAAAUGGUGGAGUCCAACUUGCCUGGACCAGCUUAAUGGUUCUGCUCCUGGUAACGUUUUUAUCCAUGGAUGACUUGCUUGGGUAUGGAGAGUCGGCUUGACUACACUGUGUGGAGCAAGUUUUAAAGAAGCAAAGGACUCAGAAUUCAUGAUUGAAGAAAUGCAGACCUGUUAUCCUAAACUAGGGUUUUUAAUGACCACAACAAGCAAGCAUGCAGCUUACUGCUUGAAAGGGUCUUGCCUCACCCAAGCUAGAGUGCAGUGGCCUUUGAAGCUUACUACAGCCUCAAACUUCUGGGCUCAAGUGAUCCUCAGCCUCCCAGUGGUCUUUGUAGACUGCCUGAUGGAGUCUCAUGGCACAAGAAGAUUAAAACAGUGUCUCCAAUUUUAAUAAAUUUUUGCAAUCCA